AAGCAGGGGAUCGUAAGACCUUGCGCUUUUGGAGUGGCCGAUGCCUGAUUAGCUAGUUGGUGGGGUAAGGGCCUACCAAGGCAACGAUCAGUAGUUGGUCUGAGAGGACGACCAGCCACACUGGGACUGAGACACGGCCCAGACUCCUACGGGAGGCAGCAGUGGGGAAUUUUGGACAAUGGGCGAAAGCCUGAUCCAGCAAUGCCGCGUGAGUGAAGAAGGCCUUCGGGUUGUAAAGCUCUUUCAGUCGAGAAGAAAAGGUUGUGACUAAUAAUCACAACUUAUGACGGUACCGACAGAAGAAGCACCGGCUAACUACGUGCCAGCAGCCGCGGUAAUACGUAGGGUGCGAGCGUUAAUCGGAAUUACUGGGCGUAAAGGGUGCGCAGGCGGCUUUGUAAGUCAGAUGUGAAAUCCCCGGGCUUAACCUGGGAAUUGCGUUUGAAACUACAAGGCUUAG
rnacentral:rRNA from 1 species